GUAACUAAAUAUUUAUUAGAAUGAAAUAAAUAUUUAAUUCCUAGUUUUUCGAUGUGCUGAUAUGCCAUUUUACAACAUUCCUUUUAGGAGCAAGUCAAUCCGAGAUUGCAAUAGUAGACCUAAGUAUUAACCACUAAUUUCUGGAUAUUUAAUGAAUGCACUGGCAUUCUAUCAAUACAUUCUAUCAAUAUAGCCUAGACUUAAUAAAAUUGCUUUAUAUGUAUGAUUUGUGUGUUAUGUAUAACAUAAUGGAUAUUAAAUAUAAUAUUGUUAUAUGAAUGAAAUCUUGAAUAAUAAUAAUAAUAUAUAUCACAUGACCAGAUCUGCCGGAGUCCCAAAGCGGAACAGCAACAGAGCUUCGGCGUCGGCGGGCGCAGCGCCAUAAGCGCGUUGUCAGGCGGGAUAAUUAUACCGAGUUGCGAGGGUGACGACAUUCCGGGGCCCUCGGCUCGGAUGGCGGGAUAAACCCGACCGACUGCGGGGAGGAAGCUCCGGGAGGCGGGGCUGCUUUAACGCGGGGGGCGGGGCCGGCGCCUUUUAAAAACACCGCCACGCGCGGCCUGACGUCACAGUUGAGCGGCGAGCGGCGCGGCGGGAAACAGAGAGAGCCAUAAAGAAACAGAAAGUCGCCGCUGUCGCGACAAACCUGCAAAUAUCGCGGGAGGGCGCGACAAGUACGCAGAAACACACUCGGACCCACACCUGCCUUGCUGACCCUGUGCCCGAUCUGAGAAGCAAAAGUCACAGACACACACACACACGAACACACAAGGAUGGCAGCCCUGGACCUGCAGUGCCGGCCAUGGGGAGGUGAACGGGAGGAGGUCGACGCCGUUAUGCUGGAGUGGGAGGAGCAACUGCAGGACAUGCAGCGCAAAAUAGAGGAGCUGUAUAACGAUGUGAUCGCUCGCAGAGGAGGAAGUAACUGCGUUGCACACGGCAAGACAAAUGAUGUCGCCCUCUACCCCAGUCACCGUAGCAACAGCAGCAGGGACCAGUCUGUUUGGCCUUAUAGUGGUGUGAACCAAUCUGGUUCCCAUAGAAACAACAGCUGUGGCUACAAUCGGCCUAACGACUGUUCACCUCAUGAGAAUUUUACCAGUGGUUGCCAUGGCAACAGAGGACUGGAAUCUACCAUGGAGGUUUUAGAUGGAUACCUGGUACAUGGAAAAAAACUGAACAAUUUGGCGUCUCCCAGCCCUAGACAGAAGAAACUUGAUCCUGCUGUGGCUGAGAGGACAGACGUAAGCUGGGGAAGAGCUAAAACAUAUGACUAUGACAACAGGAAAAACAGAAUUGUGACCGCUGACCUCCAGCAGCCCCACAUCCCUCAGCGCAUGACCCCUGGCGUCCAGAACCUUGAGUACAUUGCCCCUUCUCAGCAUUGCCCCCCGCCAAUGGACAGGAAGUGCAGCCCAUUGGACAGGAAGUUGAGCAGCCCGUCAGUCCUACGUAAAUUUGGUGCCAUGCUGCAGGAGAACGAGGGCAAGGUGCUGACAGACAAUCACCUGGUGACCCCAACCACGCCCACCCAGAUCACACCCAGAGAACGCCCUAUCCCUGGAAGCAGAGUAGAGCAUAGAGCCACGGGACACAGCCAGUGGGCUGGUGUUGGUUACAGAGGUUGCCAGGUCAACCAGAGGGGUAGCCACAGUAAUGGUGGUUUUCUUGCUAACGGAGGAUGCCAUGGUAACAGAACAAUGGUAGAUUUUGAACAGGAGCAGGGCAGGCUCAUUGAACUCAUGAACCAGAUGGAGAUUGAACAUCGGAACGCCACGAACAGAGCAACACACACACCACAGGUGACCCGUGAGUCCUCCCCAGCUCCCGUGAGGCAAGGAUUCUCACGCCCUGCGCGACCAGCCAAUCAGCGCCGCCCCUCCAGAUGGGCUAGCCACACCCCCUCACAGGUCUACAGACAUUCCGGUCCCAUGAACCGGCCACCAAGUCCUGCCCCAAAAGCCAAGCCAGCCAAUAAGAGCUUCUGUUUGUUUUCUCUGGAUACUGAAACCCUCAUCAUGUGAUCAUGGUCUUUUUCCACAGAACUCAAAAAACCCAAAAGGAUGAAAGAGGAACCAUAUUUUAACAGACUUACGAAACUUUCGGAAGCUGUUAUGACACUUGAAAGCAGAUGUUAUGGAGUCAUAAGGGAUCAUAAUGCUCCCCUACUGCAAUGCUGUGCCUAAACUGUGUUUUGUUCAGUUUUUACUAUAAUAUUUUGUAUUUGCUGAGAAUUUUUGUGUGGUGGUUUUGCUCCUUAGUGCCUCCUGACUUAUCUUACAGCACACUAUACACACACACACAAACAAGCCACACCCUACUAUUAUAUGUUCAUACAGCAAAAUAUACAUUUGAAUUUGUACAGCACCAUACUCAACAGCAGCUGUAUAACCCAGAUUGCAUACACAGAAUUUGCCCUGACAUAUAACUCCUUAACAUAUGUCACACACAAACCUGGUGUGGCUGUGUGUUUCUGGUUUGACUUUGAAUUGAAAAAUUUUCAGAACGCUAACAAAUAUUAUUGUGCUGUGUUUACAAAUUUAAUAAACAUUUCUGGGUCCGGUUUCCCA
ensembl:lncRNA uncharacterized LOC114803148